GCCUUCGUAGCUCAGCUGGUAGAGCAUGCGCGUACAAAGUGUAGGUAGUGUCCAUGCGUGGGUUCGAAUCCCACCGAGGCUA
rnacentral:tRNA from 1 species